CGGAGGCAUGCUGCAGGCUCCUGCCAGGGAGCUGCUAGAGCUCCAGACAGCGGAGGCCGAACACACCAAGCCCACUGAGGGCCCCUAGUUGACCACAGAGACAGAUGGCCACCGCCCCCAGAGGAACUGCCGGAGCUGGAACCACUGAGAGGACCUGAGGCCAGAUCCUCAACGGGCGUAAAUCAUCCAAAUUCCAUUGAAGUCAGUGGAACUACACUGAAGAAAUGGCCCUGCAUCUGUAUGCUGAUUAAAUGCCAGGGACAAAGGCACUCGGCCUGAACAACACUAUUGGAAGGGAAUCUAAGGAACCCUGGCCAUCGGGCUCCAUGGACUGAAAUCGGAGAAGAGGCUGGUGAUAAAUAAGGACCAGAUUCAAAGGUGCGCCAGGGACAAAGGAGGAAGUGGAGUAAGUGUCAUCAGGCUCAUAUACAUUUGUGCUGCCUGUCAAGCCUGAAGAAGCGGCUUGUGAAUGGGAGCUUGCAGGGGACAACUUGUACCAGGUGCUCUGGGGCUGACAUACGGCUCUGCCACUUCCCCUCUGCCUGACCCGUCCCGUGGGGAUAAACAACAAGCCCCUGGCUGAGAAACGGACAGCUCCUGGAAUGGCCAUUGUCAGGAAUAGCCCAUUCACUGGGAGUGUCUGAGCCCAGGGUUUCUACAGCGCCUGGCCUCUCCCCCUCUCAAAUGGUGAAUUGAGUAAAACAAAGCUCACAUGAGGGAGAGAGUACAGCACACUAAUGAAACUGCAACACAUCCGCCCGGGAAGCGAACAGAGUAAGAGGAGGAGGCAUCCAGUUCUCCUGGCCCAGCUCUUAAGCCUGCACCACAGCUACCGUGUCUUUGUUAAGCAGUGAUCAUGCUUGGCCCUGUGUGAAACACAUGGUUGCUGCCCCACAGACCUUGCAGUCUGCAUAGUUAUGGACCAAACCCUCCUGGAGGACAGCAGCAGGCAUGGCGUUUGGGUGUUCAGCCAGUGCAGUACCCACUUGCUCAGAAGAAACCUGAUGCUGGCUCAGCUCAGAACUGACCUAGCACCGAAGAUCAUGUAUAUGAGUUUCUGGCUACUAACCUGGAAAGCUCUUGACUGUGGAAGUGAGGUCAGAGGGAAGGGAAGAGCUGCUCUUUCCUACUGUGUCGCAAGGCCCAGCGUUUUGGGGAGUGAAGAGAUCAAAGUGCAGUUGCAGCUUGCGGCCUGGCAGUUCUGUCAUGUUGGCAUAACGGCCUGUGCAGCAGCACACAAUCCAAGUGCGAGUCUGUUCUGCUCUAUAUAGCGAAUAGCGAACCGUGUCUAACUGAAGGAAGCCCUAGACCCUUUCCAGAGCCCCAGCCUGUAUUUCAGAGGUGAGCUACCUGCCUGAAACACCCUGCCAUCCUGGCAGCACAUUCUCGUUCCCAUUGGUUAGCUAAACAAGCACUCUCUGCCCCUGCUGCCCAGCUGGGCGAGGUGUCAUGACAUUACCAUUAUUCUUAGUUUUACAAUCAAUUUAAAAAUAAAAUCAAAGGGCUGGUGUUAAAAAUACCAAUGUUUAGUGUAGGCUGGAAAGAAAUGGAAACCAUUUCAAAGCGUGUUUUAAACACUGCAUUUUCAUUAUAGACACUUCAGCUGCUUUUCUCCCAGCCAGGAUCAUUCGCUCCAGCUCCUAUGUGUUUUGCACGCUGAGGCCUGGCAGCUGACAAGGGGGAGCAUGCCACGGAAAUCCUGGGCAAGUGUCACUCACUGAUUCCUGCAGCAGGUCACAGUUGAAUAAUGAGUUAAAAAUCCUGGACUGAUGAUGUUGCCUGACAACACGACGCGUCCGAGGUGUCAAUCCUGUGUUCUUUUUUGGGUGGAAUGAGCUGAAGUAGCUGUGUUCUCUGUGAUUAAACCCCUCCCCACACAGCAAUGCAAGUCCCUUGGCUUUACACACAGGGAAAUGAGUUUGAACCAAGUUUCUAGAUCAAAGCAGCCAAACAAAACCUUAUGACUGCAGACUCCCUGUGACUCUCCAUAGCGCUUUUGAUUUCUGGACUGAGGCAUUUGCAGCUGCAGUAUGCAAAAAGUCCUGAGUCCAGCUAUAUAUUAUUAAAAGUCCAUUUUUGUGGGAAUCCCCCAAUUUCCUGUCACCACAACCCUCGGGUCCUAAGCAACAGCAAAGCUCUGUCAGAAUCCCCAAGCCCCCUUCAGAAGUGCUGUGCCCGAAUGCAACCCCACAGACCUGCACUAUUCUUCUGUCCAGGAGCGGUUACCACACUAACAAUGUCUGAGCCUGUGGGGGUGGACUAGAUGUAACUCAGAACUGGUAGAUCUUUUCCACCUCUGACUCCUAUAAUUUGGAUGCCUAACAAUGGGACUGGCUAUCUGGGUAACACCAGUGUCCCAGGGGUUAAUUUGGUAACCGUUUAGUGCAGAAAGCAGAUAUUACCUGCCUUUCAGGUCCACAAAUACAUUUAUUUAUGAGAAAACACCCAUCUGUACCUUUCUGUUUUAUUUUAAAUAACCCCAAAGCAUGAAGGGCAGCUGGUAAUCUGUAUUCCAGCAAGGCUGGGCUUUGUUUCUUUGCCACUUGAAUGCUUAAAGAAGACACUUGUAGUUUUUGCAGAUUUGUUCAGGUGAGCUGUUCUUGGAGAAUGGAAUCAGGCCAUGACUUCAUCCACAGUCCCAGGGGUCUUAUGGUCAGGUACAGAAAUGGAAGGUAAUGCAGGGCAUGUCAAACUCAGCGGUAACUCCAAGCGUAAGGCCAACCUCUGUGACAAGGCUGUUGCAAGUUCCAAUAGGAACCUAGCGGGCGGACCCAAAAGCAUGCUCCUCCCCUCCACGUCCUUGUGGCACCGCACAGAUGGAAUUAAAGGAGAGUAAUGCAUUGUACAAUGCAACGAGAGCAUUAUAACCAAACUGGCCCCCUCUAACUCUAAUCCUGAAAAUCCAAGGGGAUUUAAUGCAAAACCAUAAAGGGGAAGGGAAGGAUGUAAAUAGGGGCCGAGUCAUCGUGAUGGAACAAGGGCUAAGGCAUCUUUAAAAGCAGGGAAGGAAGGAUGAGAUGGACGCCAGGAAGAGCCACGCCUGCUGCAACAAGAGGACAGUGUGGUGGGAUCCUGAAAAGAUAGGCAGUGCCAGAGCUCAGAGUCCCAUCAGAGGAAGCUGAAGAAGGCCAGAACCUGCAUGGUCAGGACUCCUAGUGAUUCUGCAGCCUUUUCCCUGCAUCGAUUCAUGCGUUUCUUGCUUUUAAUCACCUGCUUCCCAGCAGCCUCAGGAGUGAUGGAUGGCAGCACCUUCCUACACCAGGCGCAGCCACUCUGUUGUCUGCAGCCCCUUCCUAAGUCGCCCGUAAGCCUGGAGGAGAGACCUCUGACUGGCACAGAUGGUGAUGGAGGCCUCAUUGCAGUUACUGUUACCGUCUGUGACCCUAGCAGGAGGCAGAUCCUAGAUCACACAUGGCAGACAUACAUGGACCGAAGCUUUGGCUGUAAACUGGCUCAUUAGCACAGUCAGGCAUCUCUGGUUGGAAGCAGGGACAAUAAAGACAAAUUCCAUGACCCCAGCGUCCAGCCUGAGGCCAGGGAGGAGAGAAUCUUCUCCUCCAGGCUGCAGAGUAGCAGUAGCAUCACUCUGUGCCUGCAGCAGCCCACACUGCCAGUGGCUCCUCCGCUGUGGGGCAGAUGAAUCUAGUGGGCCUGUGCUUCCUCCAGGCCUACCAAGGACCUAGAUCGUGCAGGGAGCCCCCCUGCAGGAACCCUGGGAGAGGACCCACGUGUCGUCCCCUCCCCCAGCCAUGGGGGCGCAUGGGAAAAGGGGAAGAGGAACCGAGGCUGAAGUCAGCAGAGCAGCUGCAGCAAGUUUACCAGUGGCCUUCGGACACCGAUGAUGUCAUCGAGCUGCUGUCUAUGGAGUGACCCCAAACCUUCUAUCUCAUCUGCUGAUUGGCUGCUGGCUCCAACAAGCCCCUCCCAUUCACGGCUUGUUCAAUCAGCCUAGUUCCACCUGCCCCCGUGGCCUGCACCCUCCUCCAGUCCUGUUUGUUCUUCGUUUAGCGACUCCGUCCCAGCCGUGCGCUGCCGCAACUCAGUAAAACCCACUCAGAUAUGAGAUAAAAGACCAAACUUGUG